rnacentral:rRNA from 1 species
UGGGGAAUAUUGCACAAUGGGCGAAAGCCUGAUGCAGCAACGCCGCGUGAGGGACGACGGCCUUCGGGUUGUAAACCUCUUUUAGCAAGGAAGAAGCGAAAGUGACGGUACUUGCAGAAAAAGCGCCGGCUAACUACGUGCCAGCAGCCGCGGUAAUACGUAGGGCGCAAGCGUUAUCCGGAAUUAUUGGGCGUAAAGAGCUCGUAGGCGGUUUGUCGCGUCUGCUGUGAAAACCCGAGGCUCAACCUCGGGCCUGCAGUGGGUACGGGCAGACUAGAGUGCGGUAGGGGAGAUUGGAACUCCUGGUGUAGCGGUGGAAUGCGCAGAUAUCAGGAAGAACACCGAUGGCGAAGGCAGAUCUCUGGGCCGUAACUGACGCUGAGGAGCGAAAGGGUGGGGAGCAAACAGGCUUAGAUACCCUGGUAGUCCACCCCGUAAACGUUGGGAACUAGUUGUGGGGUCCAUUCCACGGAUUCCGUGACGCAGCUAACGCAUUAAGUUCCCCGCCUGGGGAGUACGGCCGCAAGG